CAAGCAAUUCUCCUGCCUCAGCCUCCCAAGUAGCUGGUAUUACAGGCACAGCUACAAGGAACACCCUUCAUUGGUCUCUGGGUAUAAUUAUAGGAAUUGGGUAUGUGGCUAGAAGAAGAAUCACUGGGUGGUGAGGUUUGUGCUUCUGCAAGUUUACCAAGCAUUGCCACAGUGCUCUUCAGUUUAUACUCCUCAUAGAAAUAGGUGUAAGAUAUUGUUAAGACGCACUAUCUUAGCAUGAGACGGGACUUCUUCCAACCCUCCUAUGGAACAGAUGGGCAGACUGAGGACCUGAGAAGGAAUCUACUUGCCCAGGAU
rnacentral:lncRNA from 1 species